ACUCCUACGGGAGGCAGCAGUGGGGAAUAUUGCACAAUGGGCGCAAGCCUGAUGCAGCCAUGCCGCGUGUAUGAAGAAGGCCUUCGGGUUGUAAAGUACUUUCAGCGGGGAGGAAGGCGAUAAGGUUAAUAACCUUGUCGAUUGACGUUACCCGCAGAAGAAGCACCGGCUAACUCCGUGCCAGCAGCCGCGGUAAUACGGAGGGUGCAAGCGUUAAUCGGAAUUACUGGGCGUAAAGCGCACGCAGGCGGUCUGUCAAGUCGGAUGUGAAAUCCCCGGGCUCAACCUGGGAACUGCAUUCGAAACUGGCAGGCUAGAGUCUUGUAGAGGGGGGUAGAAUUCCAGGUGUAGCGGUGAAAUGCGUAGAGAUCUGGAGGAAUACCGGUGGCGAAGGCGGCCCCCUGGACAAAGACUGACGCUCAGGUGCGAAAGCGUGGGGAGCAAACAGGAUUAGAAACCCCAGUAGUCCC
rnacentral:rRNA from 1 species